GGCAGCGUGGCCGAGUGGUCUAAGGCGCUGGUUUUAGGCAUCAGUCCGAAAGGGCGUGGGUUCGAAUCCCACCGCUGUCA